AUCAACAUCCCCAUUACCUCAUCAGACAAGGGAUAGGUUUUGGUGCAGUGGACCCUCUAAAUUUCUUCAUUUUAACGUUAAAUUUAGGGUAAAAUUAAUUAAAAUUGCAUGUCUAAAAUUGUCGCUCUUCUGGAGCACAGUGCCAAAAGUACCAUUUGAUAGAAACACGAGGGCUGCAAAAAUAUAAUGACUUUCCAAGCUUCAACGGGUAAAAAGAGCAAAAAAAAACCUGUCUGGAGUGUUUGGACUUUGAAGUUUAAGUCGUUAAACAACAGCAGAGAGAAUCCACAAGGAAAAAAAAGCAAAACAAACCCACUUUCCUCUUCCCUAAAACUCUCCAUUCCUUCUCAAACUUCGCUAGGUCUGAAGACCAUGAAUGGAUCCGGAACCGGCAGCCGAUGCGUGCAAUUCCUCCUCCUUCUCACAAUCCCGUUGUUGUUUGAUUCAGUUCGGGCAAAGGACGACGACGGAAGCAACAAAGCCGGUGGCUCUUCGGUAGCGCUGAAGGUAGUGAUUGUGUUGCUGGGCGUGGCGGCGGUGGUUGGGUUCGGUGUGUUUCUGUUUAGGAUAUGGCAGAGGAAGAAGAGAGAGGAGCAGCACGCCAGGCUUCUCAAGUUGUUUGAAGACGACGAUGAGCUCGAGGUCGAACUUGGAAUUAGGGAUUGAUUGAUUGAUUCAAUUCAGGGCAUAUUUUAUUCCCUGUAGAGCUGAUCCAAUCCCAGCAGUUGAUUGGAGAUGAUCCAUCACCCAUGAAGUUGCGACCUCUUACAUAUUCCCAAUCCCAUAGGCUUAACAUCAACAAGCAAUCUGCUUUUGAAACUGCUGGGAAGCCUCCAUGGGUAAUACCCUUUCCUUUGAACUUCAUAUAUAAAGAAAAAUGCUCAUGUGGUGCUGUCAUAUAAGUAGUGGUUAGUUUCUAAAUUGCUUCAUGACCUUCUCUGUUGUAUUAGCCCUCCAUUUUGACACAUUACACAUGAUUCUCCUCAUUGGACUGCCAUUUUAUGCAAUGCUUUUUCCCCUCCUACAUUAAGAUACUUAUUGAAUUUGCGUUUCUGAGUAGGAGAUUGUAUAGCCUGAGACUGGUUAUUUAUAAAUUUUAGUGUAUGGUGUGGUUCCUAGCAUUCCUUGCUGAAUAACAAGGACAAUAUUAGUAGGAUUUCCUUGCUAAUAAUGAGAACAGUAUUAAGUGCG